rnacentral:rRNA from 1 species
AAUAGAUACCCCCGGUAGUCCACGCCGUAAACGAUGAGUGCUAAGUGUUAGGGGGUUUCCGCCCCUUAGUGCUGCAGCUAACGCAUUAAGCACUCCGCCUGGGGAGUACGGUCGCAAGACUGAAACUCAAAGGAAUUGACGGGGGGCCCGCACAAGCGGUGGAGCAUGUGGUUUAAUUCGAAGCAACGCGAAGAACCUUACCAGGUCUUGACAUCCCAUUGACCGCUAUGGAGACAUAGCUUUCCCUUCGGGGACAGUGGUGACAGGUGGUGCAUGGUUGUCGUCAGCUCGUGUCGUGAGAUGUUGGGUUAAGUCCCGCAACGAGCGCAACCCUUGUUCUUAGUUGCCAUCAUUUAGUUGGGCACUCUAAGGAGACUGCCGGUGACAAACCGGAGGAAGGUGGGGAUGACGUCAAAUCAUCAUGCCCCUUAUGACCCGGGCUACACACGUGCUACAAUGGACGGUACAAACGGUUGCCAACCCGCGAGGGGAGCUAAUCCGAUAAAACCGUUACUCAGUUCGGAUUGUAGGCUGCAACUCGCCUACA